GUGAGAGGUGCUCAGAUAUGACCAAGGUCAGUAGAAGAUGGAGAAGAAGGAUGUCCCAUGCCAUACUGCUACUGCCACACGUAGACCGAAAAGAUGGCACUGAACCCGGCAGCAGUAUCUCUGACACUAAGUACCGUUUAUGAAGAUACCAGAAGCGCCCUACACAGAGACACGUUUGGUGUUCGACACAUACUGGUACAGCCCCACACCCAUGUCAAGAUUGCCUCCUAUGCCGACGUUUGUCUAUUCGUUAAUUUGCAGGGACUACAUUAAUGCUGGGCGGGGAUCAAACACCUGUUUUCUGAAACCAAGUUAGAACUGCAAUCUAAUUGGCUGACUGUAGAAGGCACGUGACUGAUGGAACCACGCCCAGCCUUCAGCCCGUAUUAAGGAACUGGACACACUCAUGCAAACGAGCGCACACGUACAUACAGUUAUAACGAUUGAACAGGUUUAUGAACUGGUGAACUGGCGCGUGAUCUUGUUGUUAUUUUAAAAACGUUUUAGGAUUACAUAUUGAUUUUCUUAAGUUGAAAUGAUUUACUGAUGUAAUUCAUAAGCCAUAUACCUUAGGUAUGAAUCAUAAUUCUUUUUAAUUGUUCCAAACAACUAGCUCAGAUGAAUCUGAUUCCAUUAAAACCCUUUCGGCUACCUCAAACUGUCUACACGAUUAAUUAAACUUUGGGUAUAAAGGUGUUUUUUCAUCGUAUAGUUGGUGUAAUCUCUGGUAAGUUCAUUCUUCAAAGUCGAUUAGCUAUCACAUAUUUUUUUCUUAAUUGACAUUGUAGAAUUGCAUAAUUAAUUUUAGGAGUUUAUUACGAUGUAAUCGUAAACCAACGCGUUACGAAGUAUUUCACCCGAAUAAAAGUACAUUUCUUCUUGGAGUUUUCAAUUUCUAAACAACCCAGAGAUGGUUAUAAAAGUGGUGUUUAUAUACACACGCGUUUUAAAAUAUAUGUUAUCUAGUUCAAAUUGUAUUCUUUGAACUGUUUCAAAACACCUAAAAGAUGGCUUGAAAACUUUGCAAAUUGUCAAAUGAUAUCUUUGCCCAAACUUUGUCCAUGUAUUGAGAUCACUGUUCAUGUGAUGCAGUGCCUUACGUCGCGCAUUAAGUUUUCACGUGAAUUUUUCAACUACCGAUUGUUAUUUUAUAAAUAGAUAUAGUAUUUAAUUUCAGUUUCGCCGUGGUCUAUCUUAUUAACAGUGCUGAAACAUAACAGCUAAUUUAAACGAGAAAUUAAGAUAUGCUGUAGAUUUCUUCUAAUUUAUCAUAUACCGCACUUUGAUAAAACCAAUUCUUCUUAUAACAAAUAACUCCAUUUUAUAUUAUUAGCCUUCAUCCUUGUAUGCAUAUUCUAUGGAAAUUCUAACAUUACUUGUGAAACAACGUUUGAAUCUGAAACCAAAAUCAGAAAGAAAGACUAACAUUUUGAAACAAUGCACCUUGUAUGUGCAAAAAUCCAUUUUUCUGUUUUGCAAGAGUGUGUGUAUCUUUCCAUCAAAAUAGUUGCGUUUCUACUGAAUAAAAAAAUAUGCAUUAAAUUGUUUUUACAUGCAAUCUAUUAAAACUUGGGUUCAGUUUCAUUAUCAUGCGUACUGCACGUUCAAAGUUUUUUUCCUAUUGAUACUUUCAAAAUGUAGUCUGAUUCUGCAAUC